GCUCUCGUGGUGAAAUGGAUAUCACGACGGUCUUCGGAACCGUUGUUCCAGGUUCGAGUCCUGGCGGGAGCACAA
rnacentral:tRNA from 1 species